rnacentral:rRNA from 1 species
AACGCGAAGAACCUUACCAGCCCUUGACAUCCCGAUCGCGGUUACCAGAGAUGGUUUCCUUCAGUUAGGCCGGAUCGGUGACAGGUGCUGCAUGGCUGUCGUCAGCUCGUGUCGUGAGAUGUUGGGUUAAGUCCCGCAACGAGCGCAACCCUCGCCCUUAGUUGCCAUCAUUCAGUUGGGCACUCUAAGGGGACUGCCGGUGAUAAGCCGAGAGGAAGGUGGGGAUGACGUCAAGUCCUCAUGGCCCUUACGGGCUGGGCUACACACGUGCUACAAUGGUGGUGACAGUGGGCAGCGAGACCGCGAGGUCGAGCUAAUCUCCAAAAGCCAUCUCAGUUCGGAUUGCACUCUGCAACUCGAGUGCAUGAAGUUGGAAUCGCUAGUAAUCGUGGAUCAGAAUGCCACGGUGAAUACGUUCCCGGGUCUUGUACACACGC